AUUGAACGCUGGCGGAAUGCUUUACACAUGCAAGUCGAACGGCAGCACGGGGGCAACCCUGGUGGCGAGUGGCGAACGGGUGAGUAAUACAUCGGAACGUGCCCAGUCGUGGGGGAUAACGUAGCGAAAGCUACGCUAAUACCGCAUACGAACUGAGGUUGAAAGCGGGGGAUCGCAAGACCUCGCGCGAUUGGAGCGGCCGAUGGCAGAUUAGGUAGUUGGUGGGGUAAAGGCUCACCAAGCCGACGAUCUGUAGCUGGUCUGAGAGGACGACCAGCCACACUGGGACUGAGACACGGCCCAGACUCCUACGGGAGGCAGCAGUGGGGAAUUUUGGACAAUGGGCGAAAGCCUGAUCCAGCCAUUCCGCGUGCAGGAUGAAGGCCCUCGGGUUGUAAACUGCUUUUGUACGGAACGAAGUCGCGCGGAUUAAUAACUCGCGUGGAUGACGGUACCGGAAGAAGAAGCACCGGCUAACUACGUGCCAGCCGCCGCGGUAAAAC
rnacentral:rRNA from 1 species